AUGGAGAUCAUCUACAAGGACACGCACAACCACCCCAAGCCCGCUGCCCAGGGCCGCCGACCCGCCGGUGCCGUCCGAACGCGGAGGCAAGGUCGUUGUGGCUGUCCAGGACUAGCGAGGCGAUGGGCUGGAGGCCACGUCGCCCGCCUCGGUGCCCGGUUGCUUAGUUCUCAAGCAACCAUGUACUUCCUUGACUCUCAAGGCAACUAUCCAACUACAGCCCGUGUGUGCAUAUACUUGGUCUUGGUCUUCCUCUUCUUCCCCGCGCGCUCCUCCCCCAUUCCCCCGGCGACCAACCCCGUCCUCCUCCUCCGGCCCAUCUCCGCCGCGAGCCUAAGGUACGUCGCCCUAAUCGCGCGAUCUAGGUUCGAUUCGUCCCCGUCGUCGCUAGAUCCGGCUCGCCGCGCCCGAAAUCCCCCGCGGAAUCGGGGUGAAUUCGUGUGGUUCGAUUUUCGUCGGGGCUGGUUAAGUUCCAAUCCGGGGUCAAGGCCUCCUCCUCCUCCGCCCCCGACCGAUCCCGUCGCCUCCCUGGCGUAG
rnacentral:rRNA from 1 species